AGGUGGAUCUGGUGGAAGACUUCCAGAAACCAGCAAGAGUAUCAGGUGGCAGGCACUCACUCAGCCGCUCUCUACAUUUAGGCCUCUUUGUAACUGACGCAAAUCAUUGUUGCAGACAAGCACAGAGCUGAGUCGUGGAGUGUCUUAGUUAGGAUUUUACUGCUGUGAACAGACACCAUGACCAAAGUAACUCUUAUAAGGACAGCAUUUAAUUGGGACUGGCUUACAUGUUCAAAAAUUCAUCCUUUGUUAUCAAAGGAGGGAGCAUGGAGCAUCCAGGCAGCAGGCCAAGACGAAGAGAAUCUCAAGUACGAAGCCAGUAUGGACAAGGUUACCUGCUAACAUGGUAAAGCUGUGGAGAAAUCAAGACAGAAGAGAGGGGAGAAGAACCUACACUAACGUGGGAAGGCAAGGAUGCCAAGAAAUUACCACUUUUGUGACAGGAGUGGUGGCUCAGUGGUUAAG